UACGUAGGGUGCAAGCGUUGUCCGGAAUUAUUGGGCGUAAAGAGCUCGUAGGCGGUCUGUCGCGUCGGAUGUGAAAAUCCAGGGCUCAACCCUGGACCUGCAUUCGAUACGGGCAGACUAGAGUUCGGUAGGGGAGACUGGAAUUCCUGGUGUAGCGGUGAAAUGCGCAGAUAUCAGGAGGAACACCGGUGGCGAAGGCGGCAUCCUGGACCAAUACUGACACUGAAAAGCGAAAGCCAGGGGAGCAAACGGG
rnacentral:rRNA from 1 species